GUUGAGUAAUUUGUUUUAAUUGAGUACUAUUUAUGGAGAAAUUUGAAUUUUAUUUUUGUAUUUAUUUGGGAGAUGUCGUACAGGAUGACGCAGUUUCUGUUUUGUUCGUCUAUACUCGUAAUAGUGAUCCAAAACAUUAUAUUGAUUUUUGGAGAUUCUUUUUGCAAAAUGUUAUGGAUAUGUUUAAUAUGUGUACUAUUAUUUGGAUUUAUUAGACAAUACUAUUUGGAUUGGAUUAGAAAAGAACAAAACGACACGGCUUUUGGGUGGACCUGAUCCCAUACCACUUAUUAUUUGUUUGUCCAUUACCUUGUUUGAUUGUUCGAGCUUAAUGAAGGCUUUUCUUCACAAAUUAA